rnacentral:lncRNA from 1 species
CGAGAGACGUAAACUACACUAGGCUAACUAUACUGUGGGUAAGAGGAAGGGGAUACGAACCUCGCGCAAUUGAUGCGAUUCAUCCGACGAAGAUUGUUUCUUGGCCUGUAAUUUGUUGAUGCCUUACACAGAAAUUCAUAUAUUUUAGCGAGAAGAUAGAGAGAUAGAGAGGGACUCGUAUGGUUGUCCGUCUCUCUAAUCGACCUUUGCCAUGAAGGGUGCGCUCGCAUGGCAGGUCACCUACUCAAUAAAAUAUUAUUUUUUGUGUCGGAGGGGAGAUGGCACGGCGAUUUGGCCCGGCUCACCCCUCCGUGUGUGUGUUCUCUUUUUUUUCUUUUCGUUUCAGUCACACUCAUAUAUAGUCAUAUACAGCCAGUCACCCAACACACUUAAAUUAUCAGCAACUCAACAGACACGUCCGAUAUCGAUUGAGUUUGGUUACAACUAUCUUAACCAACACCAUACCCAAAAAUCACCAAAACAUUCGAGUAAAUUCAACGAGCAGGCGUAUUUCUUCUCGACAUCAACUGCGCACAGAGGUACAUUUUUUAGCAUGAUUUUAUACCAAAGUAAAUUCAACUAGCAGAACGAAUGAUUGUUUGUUGCAAAUUAUAGCAUUUUACACAAGCAAGCUUUAUUUUAGUGUUUCUGUGUUGAUUUGUACUCUUAAUCUAAAUUUCCAUUCAACUGCAGUUAAUUUAUUAUACCAGUUCAAUUUGUUCAUGUUUCUUUAGUUCAGCAAUUUAAUUUAGUUUAUAUUUAUUUUCUAGUUUAGUUUCGUUUGUACGACGGUCGUUGCUUUAUUUUAGCGGAAUUUUUCUAAUAAACGGGAGUUUUUUAAUGUCUCAUCGUGUAUUUUGGCUUGCAACGUUUAAUUACAGGUCUUUAAUGCAUAUAUUUUUCAUUUGAUUAUCUGUUGGAAUGUGUCUAAUGUUCGUAUUUUUCUUGUUUUCCGAUACAUUAUACAGAGUCUCUUAAGUUUGGGUAAAAGUAAAACCGAUUUCCAAGCGGUCGAGGAUGCACUUGGUUGAUUGGUUGCACUGCGAGAGUUAUAUAUAUUACCGGACUCGGUUUCAUUAAACCGAUGGCUCCCUUGCCUUAGGUGAAGAUGUGUUUCGGAAUUUAUUUGGAUCGGAAUAGAAAGUUGUGCUGGAACUUGGAAUGCAUGUUCUACUAUUGAAAAUGUGUUUCGGAAUUUAUUUGGAUCAGAAUAAAAACAUAUGUAUAAGGUUUUGAUUUUUGAUUCGAUAUUAAUUUUCAAAAAUAAAUUCAAAAAAUUCUAUUAUUUCUUCGACAAUUA